ACUCACCGGCGAUCGAAGAUCGACGGCGCCGUCCUCUUCGCUCGCGAAGAAUGCCGAGGUCUUCAGGGUGGUACAGGAGAGGUGCCUGGCUUUCAUUUCCUCGCGACGCCCGUGACGGCUCGGCGGUGACGCACGAUAUUGGAGGGCGGCGAUGCUGGUAGGCGAAAUGGAAGGCGUCGACUGCGCGUUAUUCGGUGGUCCAAGACAUCGGCGGCGCGUGAGCUUCUCCGGCGUAGGUCCUUCCAAGUGUUUGUGGUCGACGGCGAGCUGGACAGGACUUCGUUGCACUGCCGCUGCAGUUGCGUAUGACAGGACGGGUUUGGCGUGCAAUUGUCCUUGCCUAGGGUUCAGUGGCGAGAUGCCCGCUACGCCCAGGUGGCUGACGCUCACGCAGGGUGCCAGGAAGGUGUGCCUGGGCUCUCAGCGGCAGCCUGGUGGCCAGCAGUGGGUUACUGAGCGAGUGCCAGCUCUCUGAAGAAGACAUCAACAGGCUCCUUAAGGGUGAUCAAUCUUCUCGUUCUGCCAAGCCUCCACAAGAGCCACCAAACAAUAUCCUCUUCAUCCAGAACUAUCCUGGUCUUUAUGGCGAGGCAUGAUCGGAAUUUGCUAUGAUCCUUUUCUCCGGUGUUUACUUUAGUUAGUUUAUAAUGUUUCGAACUAGAGUUUUGUACUACAAGUGUGUUAGACUCUUUAUCUUGUUUGAUUCAAAAUACUCUUUAUGCUACUUUUAAAAUAGUUCAAUUGCACUCUGAAACUCAGCCAUUGGCUAGACAAAAGAAAUUGCUGACUCUACUGUAUGGUUAGUUACUAAUGAGAUUAUGCUCGAUUUACACUUGUGUACUGAAGAAGUUUCUCUUGUUGACUAUGCAGAUGGAGAACAUGGUGUUCUUCUUUGCUGAGUUGGCUAUGAUGCAGUACUCGCUGGUGUUGUCCAAGCUUGUUUAGGUCCUGAAUUUGAUGCUCAGAUGGAUCGCCAGUUUUAGAUGACUCUGAUCUGCUGGAGCUAAAAUGUGCUUGCCAUGAGCAGGCAGUGCUACACAUCUAUUACACAGAAAUGAUGAAUGUUUGUGCUUUCUAAAAUGCAAUGUG